GGGGGCGAUCUGGAUUCGACGACGGUACUGAAACCUAAGGUGCAUGUCGAGCACGUAGUGGUGCUCGUAAAUCAAAUCACUACAACCUUUUAGUUGCUAAUGAAGACAACUACCAAGGAGCUCUGGCAGCUUAAACCCUGCCAGCUCCCGAUCACUCUGACUUGCCUGUUGGUUGGUACUGAUCGCAAUUGCAAACGGGAUCGCCAAGCUGCAUGCCUGAGGCUGACUGGUUAAACUUAUUCAGGAUCGCGUAGUGUCACCCUGCCCGUUGGGUCGUUCUACGUUAACUUAAAAACGGAUUCUAAACAUGUAGAGCCGAAGGCGUAAGAUCGGCGGACGCGGGUUCAAUUCCCGCCGCCUCCACCA
rnacentral:tmRNA from 1 species